CACUCGGCGCCGAGCGUGGGGAAGAGAUUGGAGCCGCGCGCCGCGAUCCGCACCGACCCGAGCGCGCGCGCGCGUACCCGCGCAGGAUUCACGCACGCGACCCCCCCCCCACCAUCAAUCUCACGUGUACAGGUACAGUCCCACAUCAUGUACCCAAAGAGAAGCUGUAGGCGGCACUGGCAAUAAUGGAGGCAGCAAACAUCAUAUAAUCUGCAAAAUCCAGUUUUACAAGUUACAAGUCAAAACAGCGCAUAACGUAUCGGUCCAUGGAACCUAUAAAGUAUGGCAUGAAAUACAAACUCUGCAUAAUGUCUGUAUAAUGUUUCAUGAGUGUCACACAAAAAUGUGCACGUACAUUCAAGACCCACAUUUACAUCAAAUAGGGUGGCUUUUGACAUGAAAUUGUUCUUCAUGUACCAUUCUUGCCAUUCCUGUACGAACAUGGCAUGAAAAACAAUGUUCAUUAUACUUUCAACGUGGAUUCAUGCCAAAUGAAAUGUUGUAACCAAAACAAA